UUCUUAAUAUAAGUAUGUCUCAUGAAAUAUUUAAGACAUGCUUAUACUAAAA
rnacentral:pre_miRNA from 1 species